rnacentral:lncRNA from 1 species
UUUUUUUUGUCCUUUUGCCUUUUCUAGGGCCGCUUCCACGGCAUAUGGAGGUUCCCAGGCUAGGGGGCUAAUCAGAGCUGUAGAUGCCAGCCUAUGCCAGAGCCACAGCAAGGCAGGAUCCGAGCCACCUCUGCGACCUACAUCACAGCUCAGGGCAAUGCUGGAUCCUUAACCCACUGAGCAAGGCCAGGGAUCGAACCCGCAACCUCAUGGUUCCUUGUUGGGUUUGUUAACCACUGCGCCACGACGGGAACUCCAGCAAAGUUAAGUUUUAUUUGGGGUGAAACUGAAACUGACAGUAUUAACGGCCUGAACCUAGCCAGAACACAGAUUGGGACUUGAACCCAGAGUAAUUCCAGAUGGGGACUCAAACCCAAGGUUUUAAAUUAGAAUCAAUCACCCUAUGUCUGGAUUCACUAAGGUUCAGGAUCUUCAUGUCCCCAUGCAGAAGGAAUUCAGCGAGAGACAAAGUGAUAGGCAAGAAAUACAGUUAUUAGGAUAGGACGCUUGUGAGAGAUGCAAGCAUCCUGGCAAGGAGGCUCUGCCCUGAGGAGCUGGUGGGUUAGUUUUGUCAUCCAAGGGGAGUCAGGGUUGGACAAGCCUGCCUUUUCCUUUCCGGGAGUAGCAGCUCCUCCUUGGUAUCAGGUAAGGUGUGUGUUCAAAUCAGCAGAAGGGAGGUCCUCAAACUCCAUCCCUUGGUCUGAAUCUGAAUGCAGGCCUCAUCCCAUCUCCCAUCCAAUGACCUGAGGCAAUUCUCGCACUUGUACUAGUCAAGCAAGCCUGCCUUGUUCUGAUGACUUUUCUGAGCAAUUUAUUAACUUACAGUGAUCUCCCAGGGUUCCCUAAAUUUCCCUGGUUAUCUGUGGUCCUUUGCUGGGACUUCUAAAACCACCUGUGCCUACUCCAUCCCUGUCAAAAUUAGGACUUAAAUCCGGGAGGCAGCAUUUGAGGUAGCCGUGGGAAACUUCUCAGAGGAGGAAGCUAGAAUAUGAGUUUUUGCCACAAAGGGAAGGUAGUAGGAACAAAAGAUUUACAGACAACCAGAUUUACCUGAAGAGAUUUAUAGAAAACCAGUUUCUAUGGGAAGAUGUAAGUGUCCGGGCUUACUGGAAUCACUUCUUUGAUAUGCACCUCAGCGGUGGGCCAGUCUUCUCUGUUUCUUUCCUAGGUUCUGCUGGGGACAUGGCUUGGAUUGUCAGUGUCGAAAAAUGAAACACAUGAACACAGGGAGAUCUUGACAAGGCUCUUUAUUUCUGCGGAAGGGCGCACGCGUGUGCUCAAAAAGCCCGCGCACUGAACAAAGGACCCUCCCUUGUUUAAUCCCUAAUGCAGGUGACUUAUCUGUUCCCUUCCCAUUGGUCAGGUCCAGGUGCACUUUCUUCCCGGUUGGCUAAUUGAAACAAAUUGUUGCUGGGAAAAGAGUAAAGAGGAAGGGGAUCGCAGGGGGUGUUUCAUUGGAAACUGGAGCAAAAUAGAGUAACCAAGAUUUCCUUUGAUAGAGAAGAUGUUACGUUGCUUUCCACAGUUCCCUCAAGGCUCACUGGUCCACUCUUGGGAGUGGCUGUUCUCACAGCUGACCAUGAUAUCUUUAGUUUUGUCCACUUAACUACAGCUCAGUCUAUCAGUUUAGCUCUGAAAUACUGCCCCAAAGAGGAUAGGGGGAAUAUCAAGUUAUAAAUCAUGAAGGUGAAGGGGGAGGUGCAUGCAGCCAUGCACACGUUUUGCAGACAAACGUUUGCUGCUGGUCUCAUGAAAGUUACUACUAGUCACAGGCAUCAGUCAUCAUUAAAGGAUUUUAAUGUUUUCCUAGAUAUGAGGAGUUGUAAGAUUUGGGGUCAUAAAAUCUCCUAAAAAUAUGUAACUAUCUGAAGACUUGUUCUUCCAGUUUUUCUAGAACACAGAGUACCUCAUUCUGGUCUCCACCCCAAGCUCCUCCGCUCAGGUGGUGCUGCAGGUCAGCAGCUGUAGCGGCUCAUGUUUUACUCCAUGUAGAGGCUGAUGGCAAGUGCCAAACUUUAGUUCACAUGAGCUACAUUUUGGGCUGUUGCUCGCAUUUGUGAUGAACCUGCUCUUGUUUUUGUGAAGUCGACUUUGAAGGGAAGCUAUCUGUUGUAGCUCAGGAGUAAAUUUGCAAUUCUCUCUCAGCUGCCCUUAAAGUGCUUUGAAAUUCUCUAUAAGUUAUACUGUCCAACAGAGUGGCAAUGUUUCCAACUAGUGCUUUGGAUGGCAGAAUUGUCCAGUCAACACUGACGCCCUGUGUUGUAGAAUUCCCAGAAAUCACCUCAGAGGACACUCGAGGAAGAUGAAGAAUAGCUUUAUUAUGCCGGCGGGUCCACAGGAAAUCGAUUCCCAAUCAUGGACCCUGAGCAGAAAAGGAGAGAUACAUUUACAGUGCUUGCUUAUGUGUCUAACAUGCUACAUUAACCUUUAGUUACAUGCAGGAUACAGAAAGAGGUAUAGCUGUACAAAAUGCCUUAUAUUGUUACUUUAAUGAUUAACCUUAAGUACAAUCUAGCUGUUUUUGAAUUUAUUUAGAACAAUCCCUUGGGAGUUUCUCAAGUCCUAAUGACUUUGUUUUUCUCAGAGCCCUCCUAUGAGUCACCUUAAGUUCACCAAGAUGGACAGUGGCAGCAAGAUGGCUUCACUCUUGCCAAGCUCCCUAUUCCCUUUUUCACACCCCUGCACCUGUGCUUCUGAAAUGGAGUUUUAGCUAAAGAACAACCCCCCCUUGGCUAAGAAGGCAGCUGCAAGCCUUUCCAGCUGUGCUAAUUACUAUGCCACCCUUCUUGUAAUAAUGUAACAACUGUGUGCUCUCUGUCCAAGCCAGCAGCCCUGCUAAUCAGGUACCCAGCAUUGCUUAUCAGUUCUGCUUCUGUAACCUUGCUUGCUCAGUUUCUUAGGGAGGAACACUGUCUGCUUGGGGAUGGGGGAGGUCCGGGAUGCUUACAUGGGAAAAUCAAGACCUUGUAGUGUAUAAAAGUUACUGAGAACAAAGACCUGGUGCUCAGACUCUGGAGGUGACUCCUCUGAGCCCGCACCGGUGCUGAAUAAACCUUGCUUUUCC